rnacentral:rRNA from 1 species
AGAGUGAACGCUGGCGGCAUGCCUAACACAUGCAAGUCGAACGGUAACAGGCCCGCAAGGGUGCUGACGAGUGGCGGACGGGUGAGGAAUACAUCGGAAUCUGCCCGGUUGUGGGGGAUAACGUAGGGAAACUUACGCUAAUACCGCAUACGACCGAAAGGUGAAAGCGUGGGAUCCGCAAGGACCUCGCGCAGCCGGAUGAGCCGAUGUCGGAUUAGCUAGUUGGCGGGGUAAAAGCCCACCAAGGCGACGACGGGUA